GAUGAACGCUGGCGGCGUGCCUAAUACAUGCAAGUCGAGCGAACAGACGAGGAGCUUGCUCCUCUGACGUUAGCGGCGGACGGGUGAGUAACACGUGGAUAACCUACCUCUAAGACUGGGAUAACUUCGGGAAACCGGCGCUAAUACCGGAUAAUAUAUUUAACCGCAUGGUUCAAUAGUGAAAGACGGUUUUGCUGUCACUUCUAGAUGGAUCCGCGCCGCAUUAGCUAGUUGGUAAGGUAACGGCUUACCAAGGCAACGAUGCGUAGCCGACCUGAGAGGGUGAUCGGCCACACUGGAACUGAGACACGGUCCAGACUCCUACGGGAGGCAGCAGUAGGGAAUCUUCCGCAAUGGGCGAAAGCCUGACGGAGCAACGCAGCGUGAGUGAUGAAGGUCUUCGGAUCGUAAAACUCUGUUAUUAGGGAAGAACAAAUGUGUAAGUAACUAUGCACGUCUUGACGGUACCUAAUCAGAAAGCCACGGCUAACUACGUG
rnacentral:rRNA from 1 species